rnacentral:rRNA from 1 species
CCUACGGGAGGCAGCAGUAAGGAAUAUUGGUCAAUGGGCGCAAGCCUGAACCAGCCAUGCCGCGUGAAGGAUGACGGCCCUAUGGGUUGUAAACUUCUUUUGUACGGGAAAAAACCACCGGUCGUGUAUCGGUGCUGAUGGUACCGUAAGAAUAAGCAUCGGCUAACUCCGUGCCAGCAGCCGCGGUAAUACGGAGGAUGCAAGCGUUAUCCGGAUUCAUUGGGUUUAAAGGGUGCGCAGGCGGAGUGUUAAGUCAGUGGUGAAAUCUCUCGGCUCAACCGGGAAACUGCCAUUGAUACUGACAUCCUUGAGUAUUGUUGAGGUAGGCGGAAUGUGUCAUGUAGCGGUGAAAUGCUUAGAUAUGACACAGAACACCGAUCGCGAAGGCAGCUUACCAAGCAAUAACUGACGCUCAUGCACGAAAGCGUGGGGAUCAAACAGGAUUAGAUACCCUGGUAGUCCACGCCGUAAACGAUGCUCACUCGCUGUUUGCGAUACACAGUCAGCGUCUUAGGGAAACUAUUAAGUGAUCCACCUGGGGAGUACGGUCGCAAGAUUGAAACUCAAAGGAAUUGACGG